rnacentral:lncRNA from 13 species
GCCCAAGACGCAGCCGAGGGUGGGGGGUCGGGGAGGGGCGGCAUCCGGGCAGGCGACGACCCCUUGGACGCAGGCUCAGGACGCCAGGGUCAGGGCUUGAGUGCCGGGGCCCCCUCAAAGCCGCGGGGUCCAGAGAGACCACCGUCCCCGCGCCCCGCCCCGCCCGCCGCAGUCCUGUGUGGCCGUCGCCUCCGCACGUGGCCGCCUCCGCCACCAGGGGGCGCCGCAGCUCCUCGCGCCGCCGCCUCCCGCGACCCGCGGCGGAAACCGCGACACAAAGACCCGCGCGGUCACUACGGCCGCGUGCCCCGAGCGCCGGGGUCUUUCCGGGACGCCGGAGUCAGAGCUCACGUUCCAGGAGGCUCUGUCCGCGGAAAUCCGGUUCUGGCCGUGGCCGGACUCCGCCGCGGGGAGGGUGGGGACCACGGGAGAGGCUGUUGGCGGCGUUCGUGGGGGGCGGGGAGGCUGUUCGGUGCCCACCCCGCCCCGCCGCGUCCCAGGGAACCCGGGGAGGGGGAGCCAGGGGAGGGAACGCGGGGAGGACCCUGGGGAGGUAAUGGGGGAAACUCGGGGGGGGGGAGAACCCAGGGAGGGACCCCGGGAGGGAACCCUGGAGUGGGGAACGCGGCGGGGGGAAGAACCCGGGGAGGUAAUGGGGGGCAACUCAGGGAGGGAACCCCGGGGGCAACCCAGGGAGGGAACGGGGGAAGGAAACCGGGGGCGGGGGGAACGCAGCGGGGGGAACCCGGGCGGGAGAACCCAGGGAGGGAACCCGUGGAGGGAAACGGGAGGGAACGGGGAACCCGGCGUGGGGGGAGAACCCAGGGAGGGAGCCCGUGGAGGGGACGGGGAGGGGAGAACCCAGGGAGGGAACCCGCGGUGGGGGAACCCCGGGCCUGGGCGUCCACCGAGUCCUCGCCACCCUCCCCGCCGGUCCCCGAAACCCCCGUCCACGUUUCCAGGAAAACACAAGCCAAGCGAGGCCGGUCCAGCAGCAGGGCCGUGAUUUCAGGAGGGGGAGGACGCCCGCUGAGAGGUGGCGGCCGUCCCCUUGCGCGGUGGGGGUGGGGCAGCCGCGGGGUGCGAGGAGCUUCUCGCAAAGGUAAGCGCGGAACCCCCUCCCGGAGGGCUGAAGGCCGGACACUGAAGGCCGGACUCGGGCCCAGUGCGCAGCUGGAGCAUCACGCCCGGGGCACGGGCUGCGACAGGGACCAGCCUGGGAAACGUGGCGACGUCCAGGACAGGGACACAGAUACAGAAGAGCCAUCGCGGGUGGCAGAGUUCCAGGGAGAGGCCACAGGGACUGGCUGCCUAAUGGUGCGGGGUUCCCUGUAG